GACCAGACUCCUACGGGAGGCAGCAGUAGGGAAUCUUUCACAAUGGGCGAAAGCCUGGUGGAGCAACGCCGCGUGCAGGAUGAAGGCCUUCGGGUUGUAAACUGCUUUUAUAAGCGAGAAAUAUGAUGGUAACUUAUGAAUAAGGAUCGGCUAACUACGUGCCAGCAGCCGCGGUAAUACGUAGGGGGCAAGCGUUAUCCGGAUUUACUGGGUGUAAAGGGAGCGUAGGCGGUUUAGCAAGUCAGAAGUGAAAGCCCGGGGCUCAACUCCGGGACUGCUUUUGAAACUGUUGAACUAGAUUGCAGGAGAGGUAAGUGGAAUUCCUAGUGUAGCGGUGAAAUGCGUAGAUAUUAGGAGGAACACCAGUGGCGAAGGCGGCUUACUGGACUGUAAAUGACGCUGAGGCUCGAAAGCGUGGGGAGCAAACAGGAUUAGAUACCCGUGUA
rnacentral:rRNA from 1 species